rnacentral:rRNA from 1 species
AUUGAACGCUGGCGGCAUGCCUUACACAUGCAAGUCGAGCGGCAGCACGGGAGCAAUCCUGGUGGCGAGUGGCGAACGGGUGAGUAAAGUAUCGGAACGUGCCCAGUCGUGGGGGAUAACGUAGCGAAAGUUACGCUAAUACCGCAUACGACCUGAGGGUGAAAGCGGGGGAUCGCAAGACCUCGCGCAAUUGGAGCGGCCGAUGUCGGAUUAGCUAGUUGGUGGGGUAAAGGCCCACCAAGGCGACGAUCCGUAGCUGGUCUGAGAGGACGACCAGCCACACUGGGACUGAGACACGGCCCAGACUCCUACGGGAGGCAGCAGUGGGGAAUUUUGGACAAUGGACGCAAGUCUGAUCCAGCCAUGCCGCGUGCGGGAAGAAGGCCUUCGGGUUGUAAACCGCUUUUGUCAGGGAAGAAAUCUUCUGGGUUAAUACCUCGGGAGGAUGACGGUACCUGAAGAAUAAGCACCGGCUAACUACGUGCCAGCCGCCGCAGUAAUAC